AAUGCUAGAAAUUACAUGUAGUUUCUAUACUUAUUAAUUUCUAUAAACACUACAUAUAAAAAUUAUGGUUCCAAUGGAUAGUUUCUAUAUAAUAAUUUGUUAUCCAAUCACAUUCAUUCUUUCUCUAUUCUCAACCAAUCAUAUCACUUCAUGUCUUGUAUCUCGCGUAGAUAUGGUUUCUAAGUUAGACCCAGUUUCUAUAAUUUUUGCUCUCUCCUUUCAAUAACUAUCUUACCACAUCAGCAAAAUACUUAGAUGAAACUAUAAUUAAUAUUUAUAGAAACUAUAAUGGUUUCUGCAUUAGGAGUACUCUAAUCCGGCUCCAAUGGUGAUCGGCUAUUUGCUCUCCUUCUGUUCUUUGCAUUGUCGUCCAUGUAGAUAAGCGGCGACCAAACUAAACGAUGUUUAUCGGGAAGCAAACUAUAGUGUUGCAAAGUUGCCUAUGUGCAAAAUAAUUCUAGAGGUCAAGAGAGCACAUUGGGUCCAUCAUGUCAUCAUAGUUUCGAUCAUGAGAACGGGACAUGACGACAUGAGCAGUAGGCCACACAUAUAUGAUAUAUAUGAGCAUCUUUCUUAACACAUUUACAAAAGUAAAGUUUAGGCGAGGUGGUCGAUGGGUGAAACUCAAAUCAAAAUUAGUGACCGUUGCCUCGCGAAGCAUGCACUUGCUAGCAAUAAUUCAUUUGGGCCUUGUUUAGUUAAAAAAAAUCAAAAAUUUUCAGACCCGUCACAUUGAAUCUUUACACUUAUAUAUGGAGCAUUAAAUAUAGACAAAAAUAAAAACUAAUUACACAGUUCACUUAUAAUUUACGAGACAAAUCUUUAAAUUUAAUUAAUUUAUAAUUAAAUAAUAUUUAUUAAAUACAAACAAAAUUGCUACAAUUUCUAUUUUAUAAAAAAAUUUUGAAACUAAACACGGCCUUAGCCGCAGAGAGAGCAGCGUUGAAUACGGUGGUAGCAGCCUAGCAGCAGAUUUAUGAUUAGCAUAUAUGGCCAUAAUAAGGGAUCUGCAGCUCUAUCAAGUUACUGUCCACGCUACUUUUUCUCCUACCUACAGGUAGAACUGACAACAUUAACAAUGAUCACAUGCCUUGACUGCAUGCCCUUUUGAAUUGCAUGCAUGUAUGGCGGCGAAGGCGAUGGCAUGUGUCUGCCUUCACCGUUGGACCAUACCAUGCGCAGGGCACAGGGCAGGCCCCUACCACUACCAACAGUCUCUGCAUCCUCUUGUCAAAAGAAAAAAAAAACAGUCUCUGCAUCCGCUGACCAAAACAACUCUACCACACCAUACAAAUAAAGUGACAGUAUAGCCAAAGAGCAUCAAAAAAACAUUUGAAGCAUCCGUGAGUUCAGAAAAACUUGAAACGCAUGAUCUAGAGGAGCGAAGAGGUAGCUAGGUGAGCAUGAUCGAGUUGGACGGACCGGAGGCCGGGGCCAGGCAGCUGCAGAAACUGAGAUAAAAAUGCACCUUUUUUCUGUCACUGAAAACAAGCACGGGCGUCGGUGGAUCUUCCAUCGAUAUGAUGAUCCAUCCUCGCUAUGACCGAUUGACCGGAAGACACGGCGAUCGACGCCAAGGUGCGUGCAUGUAUGUACUGUAUCAUAGCAAGGUCAAUAAUAAAACCAAGUGUUUAGCUAUAAGCCAAGCGAUUAAAGCCAAGUUAUACAAUAAAUUGUCUCAUACCUAUCUCUAAAAACACAUUCUUUUUUCUAUUUUUUCUCACAACACUUGUUAUUUGGGCCCACUACUACCUAUGCAUCCGUGCUCAGCUUGGUGCUUACAUAAGAGCCAAACUAUCAUCUCUCCUCUCUUCUCUCCUCCACAUCACCAUUAACUUAGCUAUAAGCCUAUUAUUAUACCGCUCUCAUAUUGGCUG
rnacentral:lncRNA from 1 species